GAAGCAUUGGAAACUUUUUCAACUUGAUGUUAACAAUGCAUUCUUGCAUGGUGAUUUGGAUGAGGAGGUUUAUAUGAAGCUUCCCCGGGUUUAUCUGUUUCUGUAUCUUCUUCUGACUCUGUUUCUUCUCCAUCUCCUCCUCUUGUAUGUAAAUUGAAAAAAUCCCUAUAUGGGUUGAGGCAGGCAUCCAGACAGUGGUAUGCCAAGUUGUCCUCUGCCCUUUAUUACAGAGGCUAUAAUCAUUCCAUGAAUGAUUAUUCUCUGUUUAUUAAAGGCCAGCCUGGCUAUUUGGUUAUUGUAUCAGUCUAUGUGGAUGACAUUAUCAUCACUGGGGAUGACAAUGAUGAGCUAUCUACCCUGAAGUUGUUUUUGGAUGAUCAGUUCAGGAUCAAAGACCUUGGGUCUUUGCAUUAUUUUUUGGGCAUUGAGAUGUNNNNNNNNNNNNNNNNNNNNNNNNNNGACAUCUGCUUUGCUGUUCAGCAUCUGAGUCAAUACUUGAAGUGUCCCAGAGUCCCACAUAUGACUGUUGCUUUACAUGUUCUCAGAUAUCUAAAAGGGUCUAUGCAUCUGGGUUUGUUCUAUUCUGACUGUUCUGAUUUGUCUGUCCAUGCUUAUUCUGACAGUGAUUGGGCUGCCUGUCCAGACACUCGCAGGUUUGUGACUGGGUUUUGUAUUCUUUUGGGUGGCUGCUUGAUUAGUUGGAAAUCUAAGAAACAGCCUGUUGUAUCUUUAUCUUCUGCUGAAGCUGAGUAUAGGGCUCUCAGUAAGGUAGUUGCUGAACUGUCUUGGCUUUCCCGCUUGCUAACUGACCUUGGUAUUUCUGUCUCUCUCCCUUUUUCUGUUUUCUGUGACAAUCAGGCUGCUAUACAUAUUGCCAAAGCUAAACUGACUUGGCUUUCCCGCUUGCUAACUGACCUUGGUAUUUCUGUCUCUCUCCCUUUUUUGUUUUCUGUGACAGUCAAGCUGCUAUACAUAUUGCCAAAAAUCCUGUCUUUCAUGAAAGGACCAAACAUAUCAAAGUAGAUUGUCAUUUUGUGCGUGAUUUAUUGGCUGGUGGGCUCAUUACCCUGUCCCAUGUUUCUACCUCUCGUCAGCUGGCUGAUCUUCUCACAAAACCACUCCCUGGCACCAUUCUACAUCCUCUGUUGUCCAAGUUGAAGGUGGUUUCCCCCUCCAACUUGAGGGGGGGG
rnacentral:lncRNA from 1 species